UACGUAGGGCGCAAGCGUUGUCCGGAAUUAUUGGGCGUAAAGAGCUCGUAGGCGGCCAGUUGCGUCUGCUGUGAAAUCCCGGGGCUCAACCCCGGGCGUGCAGUGGAUACGGGCUGGCUAGAGGCAGGCAGGGGAGAACGGAAUUCCCGGUGUAGCGGUGAAAUGCGCAGAUAUCGGGAGGAACACCGGUGGCGAAGGCGGUUCUCUGGGCCUGUACUGACGCUGAGGAGCGAAAGCGUGGGAGCGAACAGG
rnacentral:rRNA from 1 species